rnacentral:lncRNA from 1 species
CUGAGAGGCAGUGGAAGUGAGCUAGGUAAAGAUAGUAACAAUGAUGACAGAGAACUAGAUGGUUGGAUGGCAUCACCAACUCAAUGGACAUGAAUUUGGGCAAGCUCUGGGAGAUGGUAAAAGACAAGGAAGCCUGGCGUGCUACAGUCCAUGGGGUUGCAAAGAGUCGGACGCGACUGAGUAACUGAAAACAACAGCCAAAGAUAAUAUAACACCUAUGGAGACUGACUUGAGAGAUGCACAGAAAAGCUUUCCGGUUACCUACAUUUCACAAGGAGGAUGAUUCCAUUGGAAAGGGAGGAAGCUCAGGACUUUCUGCUCAGUUUUAAUUUUUCUUUUUUAACAUAUAAGACUGUGCUGAGUCUUCUUCAGAUGCUGGAAAGAAGUCGAAGAAGAUUAUACUCACCCUACUUACCACAGUUAUGCUGCUGCUUAUGAACCAGGAUCUACCAUAA